rnacentral:misc_RNA from 1 species
UCGCGGCUUAUCACCGGCAGUCCCCUUAGAGUGCCCAACUAAAUGAUGGCAACUAAGGGCGAGGGUUGCGUUCGUUGCGGGACUUAACCCAACAUCUCACGACACGAGCGGACGACAGCCAUGCACCACCUGUGAAGGUGCCCCGAAGGGAGACCGUGUUUCCACGGCUGUCACCUACAUGUCAAGCCCAGGUAAGGUUCUUCGCGUUGCGUCGAAUUGAACCACAUGCUCCGCUGCUUGUGCGGGUCCCCGUCAAUUCCUUUGAGUUUUAGCCUUGCGGCCGAACUCCCCAGGCGGGGCGCUUAAUGCGUUAGCUGCGGCACAGAGAACCGGAGAGGUCCCCCACACCUAGCGCCCAACGUUUACAGCGUGGACUAC